rnacentral:rRNA from 1 species
GACGAACGCUGGCGGCGUGCUUAACACAUGCAAGUCGAACGGAAAGGCCCUGCUUUUGUGGGGUGCUCGAGUGGCGAACGGGUGAGUAACACGCGAGUAACCUGCCCUUGACUUUGGGAUAACUUCAGGAAACUGGGGCUAAUACCGGAUAGGAGCUCCUGCUGCAUGGUGGGGGUUGGAAAGUUUCGGCGGUUGGGGAUGGACUCGCGGCUUAUCAGCUUGUUGGUGGGGUAGUGGCUUACCAAGGCUUUGACGGGUAGCCGGCCUGAGAGGGUGACCGGCCACAUUGGGACUGAGAUACGGCCCAGACUCCUACGGGAGGCAGCAGUGGGGAAUAUUGCACAAUGGGCGGAAGCCUGAUGCAGCAACGCCGCGUGCGGGAUGACGGCCUUCGGGUUGUAAACCGCUUUCGCCUGUGACGAAGCGUGAGUGACAGUAAUGGGUAAAGAAGCACCGGCUAACUACGUGCCAGCAGCCGCGGUGAUACGUAGGGUGCGAGCGUUGUCCGGAUUUAUUGGGCGUAAAGGGCUCGUAGGUGGUUGAUCGCGUCGGAAGUGUAAUCUUGGGGCUUAACCCUGAGCGUGCUUUCGAUACGGGUUGACUUGAGGAAGGUAGGGGAGAAUGGAAUUCCUGGUGGAGCGGUGGAAUGCGCAGAUAUCAGGAGGAACACCAGUGGCGAAGGCGGUUCUCUGGGCCUUUCCUGACGCUGAGGAGCGAAAGCGUGGGGAGCGAACAGGCUUAGAUACCCUGGUAGUCCACGCUGUAAACGGUGGGUACUAGGUGUGGGGUCCAUUCCACGGGUUCCGUGCCGUAGCUAACGCUUUAAGUACCCCGCCUGGGGAGUACGGCCGCAAGGCUAAAACUCAAAGGAAUUGACGGGGCCCCGCACAAGCGGCGGAGCAUGCGGAUUAAUUCGAUGCAACGCGUAGAACCUUACCUGGGUUUGACAUGGAUCGGGAGUGCUCAGAGAUGGGUGUGCCUCUUUUGGGGUCGGUUCACAGGUGGUGCAUGGCUGUCGUCAGCUCGUGUCGUGAGAUGUUGGGUUAAGUCCCGCAACGAGCGCAACCCUUGUUCACUGUUGCCAGCACGUUAUGGUGGGGACUCAGUGGAGACCGCCGGGGUCAACUCGGAGGAAGGUGGGGAUGACGUCAAGUCAUCAUGCCCCUUAUGUCCAGGGCUUCACGCAUGCUACAAUGGCUGGUACAGAGAGUGGCGAGCCUGUGAGGGUGAGCGAAUCUCGGAAAGCCGGUCUCAGUUCGGAUUGGGGUCUGCAACUCGACCUCAUGAAGUCGGAGUCGCUAGUAAUCGCAGAUCAGCAACGCUGCGGUGAAUACGUUCCCGGG